CAGCCACACUGGAACUGAGACACGGUCCAGACUCCUACGGGAGGCAGCAGUGGGGAAUAUUGCACAAUGGGCGCAAGCCUGAUGCAGCCAUGCCGCGUGUAUGAAGAAGGCCUUCGGGUUGUAAAGUACUUUCAGCGGGGAGGAAGGUGCUGAGGUUAAUAACCUCGGCAAUUGACGUUACCCGCAGAAGAAGCACCGGCUAACUCCGUGCCAGCAGCCGCGGUAAUACGGAGGGUGCAAGCGUUAAUCGGAAUUACUGGGCGUAAAGCGCACGCAGGCGGUCUGUCAAGUCGGAUGUGAAAUCCCCGGGCUCAACCUGGGAACUGCAUUCGAAACUGGCAGGCUGGAGUCUUGUAGAGGGGGGUAGAAUUCCAGGUGUAGCGGUGAAAUGCGUAGAGAUCUGGAGGAAUACCGGUGGCGAAGGCGGCCCCCUGGACAAAGACUGACGCUCAGGUGCGAAAGCGUGGGGAGCAAA
rnacentral:rRNA from 1 species